rnacentral:misc_RNA from 1 species
CAAUACUGGUUGCCAAACACACUGCUCGCACAGUUAUCAGCUUCUUCUCUGUGAUGACAUAACAUUAUCUUGAAGGCAUUUUCAUGUGGCAGUGGUUAAAUUAGCAGCUCCCAGAUGCUUUCCCUUCAGUCUCUCUUCAAUCAAAACCAGCGGCCGCCAUUGAUAGCCACCAAGAAAUGCUCUGAUGAUGUGUUGAGGAGGAGGAGUUUUCACCCAUUUCAUUAUUCUGCUUCUCGUUGUUGCAUUGUGUGUGCAAGGGAGACAGAUUCUCAACAGUUUGAGGUUGACCCAGAUAAGGCCAGGCAAGCCCUUCAAGAGCUUGAUCAGCAGCUUCAAUCUUUCUCCAAGAAACAAGUCACUUCUCCCAAGAAGAAAGUUCAAGAUAUGAAACUUCCAAGAAGUCAAAUGAGAGGAGAAAUGACAGAGAUUUCAGGGGCCCUUUUAGCAAAUUCAGCUGUUGUUCUCUUCAUCUUCUCCAUUUUCUACAAUGUGCUGUUUUAUGCUGUUAUAAAGCCUUCCAUUGAUGGUC